ensembl:lncRNA novel transcript
AUGACUAUUUUCAAACAAAUUUCCCAUCCAGAAGUGCUCAGCUUCUCAGAGAGCCCCCAUGCCUGGCUUCUUGCUCUGGCCCUCCACCGAGCUGGGACGCAGCUGGAUUGCAAUUCCAUGGCCGUCCACUUCCUGCUGCUCCACGCUGGACUGUGGUCAUCCUCGUGCUAAGGAAGGUCACGGGCUUGUUAAUUAGCUGGAAAGCAAAGACAGACAGGAUACAAAUGUUCCUAGAAAGAAACUAGCAUAGUGUGACGUCAGUACUGUUUUCAACUUUUAGCUGCUACCCUUUCCUGUUUCCUGAGGACAUUUCAACAUGACUUCGAGCACAGUUAAAGUGAACUGCCAAGGUUAAGCGAGCUUUCCUUCCUUACGGAAUCUCCCAGCCCCUAAUUCUAUAAUACUACUCGCUUAGUUUGGCUGUGGUGAAACCCACCUUGUCCUCUACUAAAGAUAUGGAACGAAGACCUCGUCAGUCAAUCUUCCAUGAUCCCGGCCACCGCAAUUGGCUCAGGUCGUUGCUGCCAUGAAGUAAGAGUCUGUCUGGAAAUGAAGGCGAGCAGAGGCCACAAAGCUGAGACAUGGAGACAGAGAGAGUCCUGAUGUUAUUAUUUGAACCAUUGAGUCCAGCUGUGCCUGAAACUCUUCAGUGAGCCAAGAAAUUCCUUUUUGGCUUAAGCCAAUUGGAGUCGUGUUUGUGAUACUUGCAAAUGAAAGGAGUUAUUGACUAAUAAAACUGCCAUUUCUAUCUCUCCAAGAAUUAGGAAAUACUUCUUUAAAACUGUUUAUUUGCAGUAUGCUUUAUUCCUUCCCACAAAAAAGAGGCAGCUUAUAAAAGUAAAUAUGAAAAAUAGGCACAAAGGGUGUAUAAUACAUGAAAUACAUGUGUAUAUGUCUAGCACAGUCUUUAUAUUAAGUUGACAAAAAUUAUUAUUAUUAUUAUUAUUUUUGCAACAGAGUUUCACUCUUGUCACCCAGGCUGGAGUUCAAUGGCAUGAUCUCGGCUCACUGCAACCUCCACCUCCUGGGUUCAAGUGAUUCUCCAGCUUCAGCCUCCCGAGUAGCUGGAAUUACAGGUGCCCGCCACCACCAGCCCAGUUAAUUUUUGUAUUUUUGGUAGAGAUGGGGUUUCACCAUGUAGGCCAGGCUGGUCUUGAAUUCCUGACCUCAGGUGAUCUGCCUACCUUGGCCUCCCAAAGUGCUGGGAUUACAGGCGUAAGUCACUGCACCUGGCCCAAAAAUUAUUUUUUAAGUUACAGUACGAACUACUGCUGAGGGUGCUGGGUAAUUAACAUUGUUGGAGAAAUUAUAAACUGGUGCAAACCUUCUGGAGAUAAAUUUGACAAUGCUUAUUCAUAUCCAUUGUUUGUCUAUAAUCAACCAUUCUUCUUUUAGGAAUGCAUCUGAAAGAAAUAAUUACAUAAAUAAGGAGAUAUGCAAAGAUUUAGCUAUGAGAAUGAUUGUUUAAUCACCAGAAGUUGGAAAACAGCCUGAAUAUCCAAUGACAUAAAAACAAAAUUGGCGGGGCGCGGUGGCUCACGCCUGUAAUCCCAGCACUUUGGGAGGCCGAGGCGGGCGGAUCACAAGGUCAGAGAUCGAGACCAUCCUGGCUAAGACGGUGAAACCCCAUCUCUACUAAAAAUCAAAAAAUUAGCCGGGCCUGGUGGCGGGUGUCUGUAGUCCCAGCUACUUGGGAGGCUGAGGCAGGAGAAUGGCCUGAACCCAGGAGGCGGAGCUGGCAGUGAGCCGAGAUGAUGCCACUGCACUCCAGCCUGGGCGACAGAGAGAGACUCUGUCUCAAAAAAAAAAAAAAAAAAUUAUCUGUCCACCAAUUGGAAUACCAUGUAUUUAUUAAAAUAAUGAUGUGGAAUUUUAUUUACUGACUUGGAACAAUAUUCAUAUAUUGUGAACUGGCUUUGGACUAAUACAUUUAAAUUCUCCCUAGGCUGACUGGGCGCGGUGGUCCGUGCCUGUAAUCCCAGCACUAUGGGAGGCUGAGACGGGUGGAUCACUUGAGAGCAGGAAUUUGAGACCAGCCUGGCCAAGAUGGUGAAACUCCAUCUCUACAAAAAUACAAAAAUUAGCCAGGCAUGGUGGCAUGCACCUGUAAUCCCAGCUACUC